GGUCAGAAGAUGAUGUUAGCUGCCCGAUUUGCAUGGAUUUUUACUCAGAAAUUCUGCAAAGUGAACGACUGUUUUUGUCAACCCCCUGCGGCCAUGUUUUUUGCAGUCAGUGCCUCCCUGUUGCCAUUGAGAUUGCCAGAACGUGUCCAAUCUGCAGGACAGAAGUCACUCAUGGACAAUAUCAGCCCAUUAUUUUAUGAGCACUUCUAUUUCUCAGGAGGGACUCAGACGGAUCUUGGGGGACAGGCCAUGUAAAGACUUUUUCCUUCAUGUGUAUAGUUAUUCUUGUAUAUAGUUCCAUUUUUUCCUGAAUUUAGUUAUAAAUAAAGUAUUGAUUAACUUAAAUAUA